rnacentral:pre_miRNA from 1 species
UGAUGAUGAUAAUUUUGAUGACGAUAAUGAUGAUAAUGAUAAUGGUGAUCAUCACUGCCGUCAUCAUCAUCAUCAUCAUCAUCAUCAUCAUCAUCA